rnacentral:rRNA from 1 species
UGGUACAGGAUGGUCCCGCGUCUGAUUAGCCAGUUGGCAGGGUAACGGCCUACCAAAGCGACGAUCAGUAGCCGGCCUGAGAGGGUGGACGGCCACAUUGGGACUGAGACACGGCCCAAACUCCUACGGGAGGCAGCAGUGGGGAAUAUUGCACAAUGGGGGAAACCCUGAUGCAGCGACGCCGCGUGAGUGAAGAAGUAUUUCGGUAUGUAAACUUCUACCCUCAGCAGGGAAGAAGAUGACGGUACCUGACUAAGAAGCACCGGCUAAAUAC